UUCUUAUAAAAUUGGCAGGUCGUUUAAGAAUAUGCGGGUUGACACGCAACGUUCAUGCACAAUCGGCCCAUCAACUUUCCCUUGCUGUAGGGCGAGCUUGUGACAAGCUCAUUUUGGGUCGGAUCUUUUCGGUUCCAACCCGGCCCUUGUCCAGCUCUACAUAAAACCCAUUACUUUGAAAGCAAAAAAUAAAUAAAUAAAUAAAAAGCUUGAUCUUUAACCUUUAUUCCUUUAACAAUCCACCAACCAAAAAUCCCAUGGCAAUGACAUUAUUAUCAUCUCACUCUCCCCAUUACCUCUCUUCAUCCCUCUUAAAUCCUCUUCUUCUUGUAAAAAAUUACUCCUACAAUAACAAACAACUCCAAAUUCAACGAAAAACCAGAAAUUCCUUCUUUAUUACCAGAGCAAUGAGAGCUGUUGUUCAACGCGUCACCUCUGCUAGCGUUGAGGUUGAUGGCAGCAUUGUGUCCCAGAUUGGCCCUGGCCUUCUUGUCCUCAUCGGCGUUCACGACUCUGAUUCCGAUUCCGACUCCAAUUACAUAUGCAGGAAGGUGUUAAAUAUGAGAUUAUUCCCAAAUGAAAAUACAGGUAAAGCUUGGGAUCAAAGUGUUAUGCAGAAAAAUUAUGAGGUUUUAUUAGUGAGUCAAUUUACACUCUAUGGAACAUUGAAGGGUAACAAGCCGGAUUUUCAUGUGGCUAUGCCUCCACAAAGAGCAAAACCAUUCUACGAAACUGUGGUGGAGAAUUUUCGCAAGAGUUACAACCCUGACUCGAUCAAAGGGUUUGACGCUCGUUCAAUGGUUGAUAGUAUGGUAAUAUGUAAUAUCUCACUUGCUCUGUUUCAUUUACAUAACUGCAGAUGGCAUCUUUGGAGCAAUGAUGAAGGUCAAUCUGGUUAAUGAUGGACCAGUAACAUUACAACUGGAAUCACCACAGACAUCUAAGUUAGGCACAUCUAAGAGUAACAAUGACGCGGAAGAACCAUAAGUCCGUUGACCAUGGUUAUUGGAUCAGAAGCUGAACUUGUGUUACCAGAAAGUUGUUGGAAUAUAUUUUGGUGGAAGACCGAAGACUUGUGUUCUUGAAGCUAAUGCGGAAAUUGCAAGGCUUGCACUUAAACAGUUUUCAGGGUAGUUUGUGUUACUCGGUACCAGAGAAUGAUAUUGUUGCAACUUAGGAAAAUUUAGAGGGAGUAGAGAUUGUUACUUAUACUAAAUAUUUCCGAUUAUUGCUUGUCUACUCAUUGUGCAUUCAGGCACAAGCCAUAGGUUGAACGAAAGAAGACCUUAUUGCAAAUUGCAAUAGAAAAGGAUACACAAGUUCAAGUUCUAUGACUUUUUUACUAGCUUUGAUUGCCAGAUAUUUUGUAUGGCCACAAUUUUAUUUUUUUUUUCUGAAACCUGCAAUGGUUAUUGACAACUCUUCCCUGAUUUAUAUAAAUUGUUAAGAGAACAAAAUUAUGCAAA